rnacentral:lncRNA from 1 species
CUUCCUUCCCCUGAUUCUCAUGAGAAUCUGAUCUUCGCUAAAGUGGGCAAGGUCCUGGAUCAGAAGAUGCCUGACAAGAGGCCACUAUCAGCAGCAACAGCACAGUGGGGACAAACCUGAGACCUUGAUGGACCGUGGACACCAGCAGGAGAGACAGAGGAACUUGAAGUCUAAAUGGGCAGACAAGACCAACAUACACAAAGCAGAGAGUGGCACAAGAGCCAUGUCUGAUGCAACAGUGACUCAGGAGGAUCACUCUGACUCAGAAUGGCCAAGCAAAGGUAUUGGGAGGAAGUGGGAUAGAACUGAGCUUUGAAGACCGUGCUAAAAUAUUUACAGACUCCCCAGGUUAUCUCAAGUUCUCUCCAGGAAUUAGCUUCACCUCUU